rnacentral:rRNA from 1 species
UCGAGGAUCUUCGGCAAUGGACGCAAGUCUGACCGAGCGACGCCGCGUGCGGGAUGAAGGCCUUCGGGUUGUAAACCGCUGUCAGUUGGGAGGAAAUCACAUGGGGUUCUCUCCAUGUGUUGACCUAUCUUCAGAGGAAGGACGGGCUAAGUUCGUGCCAGCAGCCGCGGUAAGACGAACCGUCCUAACGUUAUUCGGAAUUACUGGGCUUAAAGGGUGCGUAGGCGGCCCUGUAAGUUGGGUGUGAAAUCCCUCGGCUCAACCGAGGAAUUGCGCCCAAUACUGCAGGGCUAGAGGAAGAUAGAGGUGAGCGGAACUUGUGGUGGAGCGGUGAAAUGCGUUGAUAUCACAAGGAACACCUGUGGCGAAAGCGGCUCACUGGGUCUUUUCUGACGCUGAGGCACGAAAGCUGGGGGAGCGAACGGG